ensembl:lncRNA
CUAUUCGAAGCAAAUCUCAUUCUCUGUGGCAUAUUUUACCGUUUUCUCUCCAUCAUGAAGUGCAUGAUCACACAAUUCUGGAUGUUGGCUCUGCUGGUCUCCGUGGCUCAGACUAAUGUGACAGUGACAACCGAUGUGGUAACCACUGAUGAUACUUCAAAUACAGAUUCAACUAUUCUGUUAACAACUGAUGAAACUUUAGUUACAAGCACAGAUCCAACCACUGUGCCAACAACUGUAGAUUCUACAACUACAACUACAGCUCAACCCACUGUUCCGACAAUUUAUACUACUUCACCCGUAAUAACCAGAAUAUAUACUUCAGAGACAGCUUCAUCAGAUCAGCCAACCACAAUGUCUCCAUCUUCAGAGCCCACCACGAUUCAAACGACUGGAUUUACUAGCAACAUAACUAUGACCACAAUGACAAAUACCUCGAUGACAACAGAAAGACAGACCUCAAUUUCGACGACUACAUCAUUCAGCGACUCACUGAAUGUUCACAUCAUCAGCUAUACUCUAUCCAUCUUGCUGUACAUGGUGUUGAAUUGAGCAUUACCCGAUUCAGCCCUGGACUAAAAAAAAAAGCUAAGCCUGACUGUUUAACAACUAACUGGAGUAUAUAAAUGACUAUUACAUUUACAGUAGUAUAAGCCAAAACUUAACAACAGAUAAUAGUUUAAUUGAUUGAAUGUUUGUUAUAAUUACACAAACUUAACAGCUCACGCUUAAAUGCUAGAAAUUAGAAAUUAGC